UUCUAAUGUAGAACAGAUAUUCAAUGUAGGGUACACAGGCUCCUUGCAACGUGGACUGGUUCUCUGUAAGGGUAAACAUGUUCAUUGUAGGGAACAUAUGUCCAUUGUAAGCGUCACAUGUUCAUGGUGAGUGUCCAUGUUCAUUGUAAGGUUACCAUGUUCAUUGUAAGGUACACAUUUUCACAUUAAGGUAUACAUGAUUGUAUGGUAGACAUGUUCAGUGUGAGACAUGCAUGUUCAUUGUAAGGCGUAAUUGUUCAUUCUAAGGCAAACAUGUUCAUUGUAAGGUACAUAUGUUCAAUGUAAGGUAGGCAUGUUCAUUGUAGAAAACACGUGUCCACUGUAAGCCAACCAUGUUCAUUGUAAGGUAGACAUGUUCAUUGCAAGGUAGAGAUAUUCAUUGUAGAGUAGACAUGCUCCCUGCAACGUAGACCGGUACACUGUAAGGUAAACAUGUUCAGUGUAAAGCAACAAUGUUCAUUGUAAAGUAGACAUGUUCAUUGUAAGGUAGACACAUUCACUGUAGGGUGGAUGGGUUUCCUGUAUGGUAGACUUGUUCAGUUUGAGGCACGUGUGUUCAUUGUAAGGCGUAAUUGUUUAAUCUAAGGUUAAUAUGUUCAUUGUAAGGUACACAUGUUCGCUGUAAGAUAAGCAUGUUUAUUGUGGGAAACACGUGUUCACUGUGAAGCAACCAUGUUCAAUGUAAGGUACACAUAUUCAUUGCAAGGUACACAUGUUCAAUGUAAAGGAGACAAAGUCAUUGGAGGGCAGACAUGCUCCGUGUGCAGUAGGUUUGUUCACUGUAAGGGAUACGUGUUUAUUGCUGGGUGUACAUGGUUAUUGUUAGGUACACGUGUUCACUGUAAGGUAACCAUGUUCAUUGUAGGAAAGGCGUAUUCACAGUAAGGCAACCAUGUUCAUUGUAAGGUAGAUAUCUUCAUUGUAAGGUACACAUGCUCAUUGUAACGUAAAAAUCAUCAUUGUAGGGCAGACUUGAUAGCUGUUCCGUAGAAUGGCACACUGUAAGAUAAACAUGUUCAUUGUAAGGCACAUUUGUUCAUUGUAAGGGUCACUUGGUCAUUGUCAGGUAUACAUGGUCAUAGUAAGGUUAGCAUGUUCAUUAUAAGUUAGACAUUUUCAUUAUAAGGUAUAUAUGUUCAUUGUAAGGUACACAUGUUCAAUGUAAGGUAAACGAAGUCACUGUAGGAUAGACAUGCUCCGUGUCAGGUACGAUUGUUCACUGUAAAACAACAAUUUUCAUUGUAAAGUAGACAUGUUCAUUGUAAGGUAGAGAUAUCCAUUGUAGGGAAGACUUGCUCCCUGCAACGUAGAGUAGUACACUGUACGCAAUUGUUCUUCCUAAGGUAGAGUGUCAUUGUAAGGUAAUCAUGUUCGUUGUAAGUUACACAUAUUCCUUGUAAGGUUGACAUGUUCAUUGUAGGGUGGACAGGUUCCCUGCAAUGUAAACUUAUUCACUGAAAGCCAGACAUUAUCAUUGUAAGGCACAGGUGUUCAUUGUAGGGUAUAUAUGAUCAUUGUAAGGUACCCACUUUCAUUGUAAGGUAGACAUGUUCACCGUAGGGUGGAUAGGUUUCCUGUAUGGUAGACAUGUUCAGUGUGAGGCAUGCAUGUUCAUUGUAUGGCGUAAUUGUUCAUUGUAAGGUAAGAAUGUUCAUUGUAAGGUACACAUGUUCACUGUAAGUUGGGCAUGUUCAUUGUAGCAAACACGUGUUCACUGUAAGACAACCAUGUUCAUUGUAACGUACACAUGUUCAUUGUAAGGUAGACAAAGUCAUUGUAGGGUAGACAUGCUCCGUGUACGGUAGGCUUGUUCACUGUAAGGCAACCAUGUUCAAUGUAGGGUACACAUUUUUUUUGUAAUGUACACAUGUUCAUUGUAAGGUAGACAAAGUCGUUGUAGGAUAGACAUGCGCCGUGUAAGGUAGGCUUGUUCACUGUAAAGCAACAAUGUUCAUUGUAAAGUGGACAUGUUCAUUGUAAGUUAGACAUGUUCACUUUAGGCUGAAUAGAUUUCCUGUUUGGUAGACAUGUUCAGUGUGAGGCAUGCGUGCUCAUUGUAAGGCGUAUUUGUUCAUUCUAAGGUUAAUAUGUUCAUUGUAAGGUACACAUGUUCACUGUAAGAUAAGCAUGUUCAUUGUGGGAAACACGUGUUCACAGUAAAGCAACCAUGUUCAAUGUAAGGUACACAUAUUCAUUGAAAUAUACACAUGUUCAUUGUAAGGUACAGAAAGUCAUUGGAGGGUAUACAUGCUCCGUGUGCGGUAGGCUUGUUCACUGUAAGGGACACAUGUUUAUUGCCAGGUGUACAUGAUUAUUGUUAAUUACACGUUUUCACUGCAAGGUAACCAUGUUUAUUUUAGGGAAGACGUGUUCAAAGUAAGGCAACCACGUUCAUUGUAAGGUAGAUAUCUUCAUUGUAAGUUACACCUGCUCAUUGUAAGGUAGAAAUCAUAAUUGUGUGGCAAACUUGCUCCCUGUAACGUAGACUGACAUACUGUAAGGUAAACAUGUUCAUUGUAAUGCACAUUUGUUCAUUGUAAGGGUCACUUGUGCAUUGUGAGGUAUAUAUGGUCAUAGUAAGGUUAGCAUGUUCAUUGUACGGUGUACAUUCUCAUUAUAAGGUACACAUGUUCAUUGUAACGUAGACAAAGUCAUUGUAGGAUAGACAUGCUCCGUGUAAAGUAGGCUUCUUCACUGUAAAGCAACAAUGUUCAUGGUAAAGUAGACAUGUUCAUUGCAAGGUAGAGAUAUCCAUUGUAGGGUACACUGUAAGCUAAACAUAUUCAUUGUAAGGCAGAUAUGUAGUUUUUAUAGGUCAAUUUUUCAAUGUGAGUUAACAUGGUCAUUGUAAGGUUACCAUGUUCAUUAUAAGGUACACAUGUUUUUUUGGAGGCACAUGAGUUCAAUGUCACGUAACCAUGUACGUUGUAAGGGACACAUGUGCAUUUUAAGGUACACAUGUUCAUUGUAAGGCACCCAAAGCCAUUGUUGGGUAGACAUGCUCCGUGUACCCAUGGCUUGUUCACUGUAAGGUAACCAUGUUUAUUGUGAGGGACACAUGUUCAUUGCCGAGUGUGCAUGUUCAUUGCUAGGUACAAUUGUUCACUGCAAGGCAACCAUGUUCAUUGUAAGGUAGAGAUAUUCAUUGCAAGGUAGUCAUGCUCCCUGUAACAUACACCGGUACACCAUAAGAUAGACAUGUUCAUUCUAAGACAGAUAUGUUCUCUUUAAGGGUCAAUUAUUCAUUGUAAGGUAGACAUGUUCAUUGGAGGGUAUACAUGUUCAUUAUAAGGUACACAUUUUCACAUUAAGGUAUACAUCAUUGUAUAGUCGACAUGUUUAGUGUAAGACAUGCAUGUUCAUUGUAAGGCGUAAUUGAUUAUUCUAAGGUAAACAUGUUCAUUAAAAGGUACACAUGUUCACUGUAAGGUAGGCAUGUUCAUUGUAGAACGCACGUGUCCACUGCAAGGCAACCAUAUUCAUUGUAAUGUGGACAUGUUCAUUGUGAGGUAGAGAUAAUCAUUGUAGGGUGGAUAGGUUUCCUGUAUGGUAGACUUGUUCAGUGUGAGGCACGCGUGUUCAUUGUAAGGCGUAAUUGUUCAGUCUAAGGUUAAUAUUUUUAUUGUAAGGUACACAUGUUCGCUGUAAGUUAAGCAUGUUCAUUGUGGGAAACACGUGUUCACUGUAAAGCAACCAUGUUCAAUAUAAGGUAUACAUAUUCAUUGUAAGGUACACAUGUUCAUUGUAAGGGAGGCAAAGUCAUUGGAGGGCAGACAUGCUCCGUGUGCGGUAGGCUUGUUCACUCUAAGGGACACAUGUUCAUUGCCGGGUGUACAUGGUUAAUGUUAGGUAUACGUGUUCACUGUACAGUAACCAUGUUUAUUGUAGGGAAAACGUGUUCAAAGUAAGGCAACUACGUUCAUUGUAAGGUAGAUAUCUUCAUUGUAAGUUACACCUUCUCAUUGUAAGGUAGAAAUCUUAAUUGUGGGGCAAACUUGCUCCCUGUAACGUAGACUGACACACUGUAACGUAAACAUGUUCAUUGUAAUGCACAUUUGUUCAUUGUAAGAGACACUUGUUCAUUGCGAGGUAUAUAUGGUCAUAGUAAGGUUAGCAUGUUCAUUGUACGGUAAACAUUCUCAUUAUAAGGUACACAUGUUCAUUGUAACGUAGACAAAGUCAUUGUAGGAUAGACAUGCUCCGUGUAAGGUAGGCUUCUUCACUGUAAAGCAACAAUGUUCAUUGUAAAGUAGACAUGUUCAUUGCAAGGUACAGAUGUUUUUUUGGAGGCACAUGAGUUCGAUAUCACGUAACCAUGUUCGUUGUAAGGGACACAUGUGCAUUUUAAGGUACACAUGUUCAUUAUAAGGUACACAUUUUCACAUUAAGGUAUACAUGAUUGUAUGGUAGACUUGUUCAGUGUGAGGCACGCGUGUUCAUUGUAAGGCGUAAUUGUUUAAUCUAAGAUUAAUAUGUUCAUUGUAAGGUACACAUGUUCGCUGUAAGAUAAGCAUGUUUAUUGUGGGAAACACGUGUUCACUGUGAAGCAACCAUGUUCAAUGUAAGGUACACAUAUUCAUUGUAAGGUACACAUGUUCAAUGUAAGGUAAACGAAGUCACUGUAGGAUAGACAUGCUCCGUGUCAGGUACGAUUGUUCACUGUAAAACAACAAUUUUCAUUGUAAAGUAGACAUGUUCACUGUAAGUUGGGCAUGUUCAUUGUAGCAAACACGUGUUCACUGUAAGGCAACCAUGUUCAUUGUAACGUACACAUGUUCAUUGUAAGGUAGACAAAGUCAUUGUAGGGUAGACAUGCUCCGUGUACGGUAGGCUUGUUCACUGUAAGGCAAACAUGUUCAAUGUAGGGUACACAUAUUUAUUGUAAUGUACACAUAUUCAUUGUAAGGUAGACAAAGUCGUUGUAGGAUAGACAUGCGCCGUGUAAGGUAGGCUUUUUCACUGUAAAGCAACAAUGUUCAUUGUAAAGUAGACAUGUUCACUGUAAGAUAAGCAUGUUUAUUGUGGGAAACACGUGUUCACUGUGAAGCAACCAUGUUCAAUGUAAGGUACACAUAUUCAUUGUAAGGUACACAUGUUCAAUGUAAGGUAAACGAAGUCACUGUAGGAUAGACAUGCUCCGUGUCAGGUACGAUUGUUCACUGUAAAACAACAAUUUUCAUUGUAAAGUAGACAUGUUCAUUGUAAGGUAGAGAUAUCCAUUGCAGGGAAGACUUGCUCCCUGCAACGUAGAGUAGUACACUGUACGCAAUUGUUCAUUCUAAGGUAGAGUGUCAUUGUAAGGUAACCAUGUUUGUUGUAAGUUACACAUAUUCCUUGUAAGGUAGACAUGUUCAUUGUAGGGUGGACAGGUUCCCUGCAAUGUAAACUUAUUCACUGAAAGCCAGACAUUAUCAUUGUAAGGCACAGGUGUUCAUUGUAGGGUAUAUAUGAUCAUUGUAAGGUACCCACUUUCAUUGUAAGGUAGACAUGUUCACUGUAGGGUGGAUAGGUUUCCUGUAUGGUAGACAUGUUCAGUGUGAGGCAUGCAUGUUCCUUGUAUGGCGUAAUUGUUCAUUGUAAGGCGUAAUUGUUUAUUCUAAGGUAAACAUGUUCAUUGUAAGGUACACAUGUUUACUGUAAGGUAGGCAUGUUCAUUGUAGAAAGCACGUGUUCACUGUAAGUCAACCAUGUUCAUUGUAAUGUGGACAUGUUCAUUGUGAGGUAGAGAUAAUCAUUGUAGGGUAGACUUGCCGCCUGUAACGUAGACCGGUACACUGUAAGGUAUACAUGUUCAUUGUAAAGCAGAUAUGUUCAUUUUCAGGUUCAAUUUUUCAUUGUCAGGUGGACAUGUUCAUUGUAGGGUGGACAGGUUGCUGAAGGCAAGGGUUAGGGUUAGGGUUACGGUUAGGGUUAGGAUUAGGGUUAGGUAACAUUGUAAGGCACAAGUGUUCAUUGAAGGUUAUACUUGUUCAUUGUAAGGUACCCAUUUUCAUUGUCAGGCAGACAUGUUCACUGCAGAGUGGAUAGGUUUCUUGUGUGGUAGACAUGUUCAGUGUGAGGCAUGCAUGUUCAUUGUAUGGCGUAAUUGUUCAUUGUAAGGCGUAAUUGUUCAUUCUAAGGUUAAUGUUCAUUGUAAGGUACACAUGUUCACUGUAAGAUAAGCACGUUCAUUGUGGGAAACACGUGUUUACUGUAAAGCAACCAUUUUCAAUGUAAGGCACACAUAUUCAUUGUAAGGUACACAUGUUCAUUGUAAGGUAGACAAAGUCAUUGGAGGGUAGACAUGCUCCGUGUACGGUAGGCUUGUUCACUGUAAGGGACACAUGUUCAUUGCCGGGUGCAAUUGGUUAUUGUUUGGUACACGUGUUCACUGUGAGGUAACCAUGUUUAUUGUAGGAAAGACGUGUUCACAGUAGGGCAACCAUGUUCAUUGUAAGGUAGAUAUCUUCAUUGUAAGGUAGAGCAUUUAGGGCAGACUUGCUCCCUGUUACGUAGACUGCCACACUGUAAGAAAAACAUGUUCAUUGUCAGGCACAUUUGUUCAUUGUGAGGGUUACUUGUUCAUUGUGAGGUAUACAUGGUCAUAGUAAGGAUAGCAUGUUCAUUUUAAGGUACACACUUUCAUUAUAAAGUACAUAUAUUAAUUGUAAAGUACACAUGUUCAAUGUAAGGUAGACAAAGCCACUGUAGGAUAGACAUGCUCGUGUAAGGUAGGCCUGUUUACUGUAAGGCAACAAUAAUCAUUGUAAAGUAGACUUGAUCAUUGUAAGGUAGAGAUAUCCAUUCUAGGGUAGACUUGCUCCCUGUAACGUAGACUGGUACACUGUAAGAUAAAGAUAUUCUUGUAAGGUAAACAUGCUCAUUGUAAGGCAGAUAUAUAGUUGUUAUACGUCAGUUUCUCAUUGUGAGGUAACAUGGUCAUUGUAAGGUUACCAUGUUCAUUGUAAGGUACACAUACUCCUUGUAAGGUAGACUCGUUUAUUGUAGGGUUGUCAGGUUCGCUGUAUGUAGACUGGGUCACUGUAAGUUACACAUGUUCAUUAUCAGGUACACAUGUAGGUAGACAGGAACAUUGCAAGGCACACAUAUUCAUUGUAAGGUACACAUGUUCAUUGUAAGGUAGACAAAGUCAUUGGAGGGUAGACAUGCUCCGUGUAAGGCAGGCUUGUUCACUGUAAAGCAACAAUGUUUAUUUUACAGCAGACACGUUCAUUGCAAGGUAGAGAUAUCCAUUGUAUUGUACAUUUGCUCCCUGUAAGGUAGACUAGUACACUGUAAGCUAAACAUGUCCAUUGUAAAGAAGAUAUGUAGUUUUUAUAGGUCAAUUUUUCAAUGUAAGGUAACAUGGUCAUUGUAAAGUUACCAUGUUUAUUGUAAGGUGCACAUAUUCGUUGUAAGGCAGAAAUGUUCAUUGUAGGGUUGACAAGUUCCCUUUAAGGUAGAAUGGGUCACUGUAAGUUACACAUGUUCACUAUCAGGUACACAUGUAGGUAGACAGGAACAUUGCAAAAUACACAUUUUCAUUGUAAUGUAGACAUGUUUAUUGUAAGGUGGACAGGUUCCCUGUAAGGUGAACUGGUUCACUGAAAGCCAGACAUUAUCAUUGUAAGGCACAAGUGUUAAUUGUAGGGUAUUUAUGUUCAUUGUAAGGUACCCAAUUUCAUUAUAAGGUGGACAUGUUCACUGUAAAGCGGAUAGGUUUCCUGUACGGUAUACAUGUUUAGUGUGAGGCACGCAUGUUCAUUUUAAGGCGUAACUGUUCAUUCUAAGGUCAAUAUGUUUAAUGUAAGGUACACAUGUUCACGGUAAGAUAAGCAUGUUCAUUGUGGUGAACACGUGCUCACUGUAAGGCAACCAUGUUCCAUGUAAGGUACACAUGUUCAUUAUAAGGUACAUAUUUUCAUUGUAAGGUACACAUGUUUAAUGUAAGGUAGACAGAGUCAUUGUAGGACAGACAUGCUCCAUGUAAGGUAGGUUUGUUCACGGUAAGAACACGUGUUCAUUGCCUGGUGUACAUGGUUAUUGUUAGGUACACGUGCUCACUGUAAGGUAACCAUGUUUAUUGUAGGGAAGACGUGUUCACAGUAAAGCAACCAGGUUCAAUGUAAGGUACACAUAUUCAUUGAAAUGUACACAUGUUCAUUGUAAGGUACAGAAAGUCAUUGGAGGGUAUACAUGCUCCGUGUGCGGUAGGCUUGUUCACUGUAAGGGACACAUGUUUAUUGCCAGGUGUACAUGAUUAUUGUUAAUUACACGUUUUCACUGCAAGGUAACCAUGUUUAUUUUAGGGAAGACGUGUUCAAAGUAAGGCAACCACGUUCAUUGUAAGGUAGAUAUCUUCAUUGUAAGUUACACCUGCUCAUUGUAAGGUAGAAAUCAUAAUUGUGUGGCAAACUUGCUCCCUGUAACGUAGACUGACAUACUGUAAGGUAAACAUGUUCAUUGUAAUGCACAUUUGUUCAUUGUAAGGGUCACUUGUGCAUUGUGAGGUAUAUAUGGUCAUAGUAAGGUUAGCAUGUUCAUUGUACGGUGUACAUUCUCAUUAUAAGGUACACAUGUUCAUUGUAACGUAGACAAAGUCAUUGUAGGAUAGACAUGCUCCGUGUAAAGUAGGCUUCUUCACUGUAAAGCAACAAUGUUCAUUGUAAAGUAGACAUGUUCAUUGCAAGGUAGAGAUAUCCAUUGUAGGGUACACUGUAAGCUAAACAUAUUCAUUGUAAGGCAGAUAUGUAGUUUUUAUAGGUCAAUUUUUCAAUGUGAGUUAACAUGGUCAUUGUAAGGUUACCAUGUUCAUUAUAAGGUACACAUGUUUUUUUGGAGGCACAUGAGUUCAAUGUCACGUAACCAUGUACGUUGUAAGGGACACAUGUGCAUUUUAAGGUACACAUGUUCAUUGUAAGGCACACAAAGCCAUUGUUGGGUAGACAUGCUCCGUGUACCCAUGGCUUGUUCACUGUAAGGUAACCAUGUUUAUUGUGAGGGACACAUGUUCAUUGCCGAGUGUGCUAGGUACAAUUGUUCACUGCAAGGCAACCAUUUUCAUUGUAAGGUAGAGAUAUUCAUUGCAAGGUAGUCAUGCUCCCUGUAACAUACACCGGUACACCAUAAGAUAGACAUGUUCAUUCUAAGACAGAUAUGUUCUCUUUAAGGGUCAAUUAUACAUUGUAAGGUAGACAUGUUCAUUAGAGGGUAUACAUGUUCAUUAUAAGGUACACAUUUUCACAUUAAGGUAUACAUCAUUGUAUAGUAGACAUGUUCAGUGUAAGACAUGCAUGUUCAUUGUAAGGCGUAAUUGAUUAUUCUAAGGUAAACAUGUUCAAUAAAAGGUACACAUGUUCACUGUAAGGUAGGCAUGUUCAUUGUAGAACGCACGUGUCCACUGCAAGGCAACCAUAUUCAUUGUAAUGUGGACAUGUUCAUUGUGAGGUAGAGAUAAUCAUUGUAGGGUAGACUUGCUGCCUGUAACGUAGACCGGUACACUGUAAGGUAAACAUGUUCAUUGUAAAGCAACAAUGUUCAUUGUAAAGUAGACAUGUUCAUUGUAAGGUAGACACAUUCACUGUAGGGUGGAUAGGUUUCCUGUAUGGUAGACUUGUUCAGUGUGAGGCACGCGUGUUCAUUGUAAGGCGUAAUUGUUUAAUCUAAGGUUAAUAUGUUCAUUGUAAGGUACACAUGUUCGCUGUAAGAUAAGCAUGUUUAUUGUGGGAAACACGUGUUCACUGUGAAGCAACCAUGUUCAAUGUAAGGUACACAUAUUCAUUGUAAGGUGCACAUGUUCAUUGUAAGGGAGACAAAGUCAUUGGAGGGCAGACAUGCUCCGUGUGCGGUAGGUUUGUUCGCUGUAAGGGAUACGUGUUCAUUGCUGGGUGUACAUGGUUAUUGCUAGGUACACGUGUUCACUGUAAGGUAACCAUGUUUAUUGUAGGGAAGGCGUAUUCACAGUAAGGCAACCAUGUUCAUUGUAAGGUAGAUAUCUUCAUUGUAAGCUACACAUGCUCAUUUUAAGGUCAAAAUCAUCAUUGUAGGGCAGACUUGAUAGCUGUUCCGUAGAAUGGCACACUGUAAGAUAAACAUGUUCAUUGUAAGGCACAUUUGUUCAUUGUAAGGGUCACUUGGUCAUUGUCAGGCAUACAUGGUCAUAGUAAGGUUAGAAUGUUCAUUAUAAGUUAGACAUUUUCAAUAUAAGGUAUAUAUGUUUAUUGUAAGGUACACAUGUUUAAUGUAAGGUAAACGAAGUCACUGUAGGAUAGACAUGCUCCGUGUCAGGUACAAUUGUUCACUGUAAAACAACAAUUUUCAUUGUAAAGUAGACAUGUUCAUUGUAAGGUAGAGAUAUCCAUUGUAGGGAAGACUUGCUCCCUGCAACGUAGAGUAGUACACUGUACGCAAUUGUUCAUUCUAAGGUAGAGUGUCAUUGUAAGGUAACCAUGUUCGUUGUAAGUUACACAUAUUCCUUGAAAGGAAGACAUUUUCAUUGUAGGGUGGACAGGUUCCCUGCAAUGUAAACUUAUUCACUGAAAGCCAGACAUUAUCAUUGUAAGGCACAGGUGUUCAUUGUAGGGUAUAUAUGAUCAUUGUAAGGUACCCACUUUCAUUGUAAGGUAGACAUGUUCACUGUAGGGUGGAUAGAUUUCCUGUAUGGUAGACAUGUUCAGUGUGAGGCAUGCAUGUUCAUUGUAUGGCGUAAUUGUUCAUUGUAAGGUAAGAAUGUUCAUUGUAAGGUACACAUGUUCACUGUAAGUUGGGCAUGUUCAUUGUAGCAAACACGUGUUCACUGUAGGGCAACCAUGUUCAUUGUAACGUACACAUGUUCAUUGUAAGGUAGACAAAGUCAUUGUAGGGUAGACAUGCUCCGUGUACGGUAGGCCUGUUCACUGUAAGGCAACCAUGUUCAAUGUAGGGUACACAUUUUUAUUGUAAUGUACACAUGUUCAUUGUAAGGUAGACAAAGUCGUUGUAGGAUAGACAUGCGCCGUGUAAGGUAGGCUUGUUCACUGUAAAGCAACAAUGUUCAUUGUAAAGUAGACAUGUUCACUGGAGGGUGGAUAUGUUUCCUGUAUGGUAGACAUUUUCAGUGUGAGGCACGCGUGUUCAUUGUAAGGCGUAAUUGUUCAGUCUAAGGUUAAUAUAUUUAUUGUAAGGUACACAUGUUCGCUGUAAGUUAAGCAUGUUCAUUGUGGGAAACACGUGUUCACUGUAAAGCAACCAUGUUCAAUAUAAGGUAUACAUAUUCAUUGUAAGGUACACAUGUUCAUUGUAAGGGAGGCAAAGUCAUUGGAGGGCAGACAUGCUCCGUGUGCGGUAGGCUUGUUCACUCUAAGGGACACAUGUUCAUUGCCGGGUGUACAUGGUUAAUGUUAGGUAUACGUGUUCACUGUACAGUAACCAUGUUUAUUGUAGGGAAGACGUGUUCAAAGUAAGGCAACCACGUUCAUUGUAAGGUAGAUAUCUUCAUUGUAAGUUACACCUUCUCAUUGUAAGGUAAAAAUCUUAAUUGUGGGGCAAACUUGCUCCCUGUAACGUAGACUGACACACUGUAACGUAAACAUGUUCAUUGUAAUGCACAUUUGUUCAUUGUAAGAGACACUUGUUCAUUGCGAGGUAUAUAUGGUCAUAGUAAGGUUAGCAUGUUCAUUGUACGGUGUACAUUCUCAUUAUAAGGUACACAUGUUCAUUGUAACGUAGACAAAGUCAUUGUAGGAUAGACAUGCUCCGUGUAAGGUAGGCUUCUUCACUGUAAAGCAACAAUGUUCAUUGUAAAGUAGACAUGUUCAUUGCAAGGUAGAGAUAUCCAUUGUAGGGUACACUGUAAGCUAAACAUAUUCAUUGUAAAGCAGAUAUGUAGUUUUUAUAGCUCAAUUUUUCAAUGUGAGGUAGCAUGGUCAUUGUAAGGUUACCAUGUUCAUUAUAAGGUACAGAUGUUUUUUUGGAGGCACAUGAGUUC